CGUGCUAUAGAUCAGACAAAAAAAAUGUAAAACGUGUGUUUCUCUAUCGGUGACUGCACUUGAUUCGGAGGGUGACGGUCGCGCAUUAACCCAGUCAAAAUAGAUCUACGCAGUUAAGAUGUAAACAAACUAACUACAGUCCUGAGGUUUUUUAGAUCGCGUUUUAGCUUCAGCACGACAAAAGCGAGGAGGAAAUGUCAACUAAAUUACUUUAAAACCAUCCUUACACCAAGAAGGGGGGGACCACGCCUGUCCACGAGCUGAAUCAAAACACACCUGUUCCCAACUUCCCAAUCAAGAGGCACAGUUUCAACCAGUCUAGGAUGGUGGCUUUCCGCGGGUUGUGCAGAAGCUUGUCCCGGUUAGCCAAAAGCAGCGCGCACCACUACAGAUAUGGGAAAGAUCAGAAGCCUACCAACCCUGCUUUAACGGUCACUCAG